UGGGGAAUUUUGGACAAUGGGCGAAAGCCUGAUCCAGCAAUGCCGCGUGUGUGAAGAAGGCCUUCGGGUUGUAAAGCACUUUUGUCCGGAAAGAAAUCCUUGGCUCUAAUACAGUCGGGGGAUGACGGUACCGGAAGAAUAAGCACCGGCUAACUACGUGCCAGCAGCCGCGGUAAUACGUAGGGUGCAAGCGUUAAUCGGAAUUACUGGGCGUAAAGCGUGCGCAGGCGGUUUGCUAAGACCGAUGUGAAAUCCCCGGGCUCAACCUGGGAACUGCAUUGGUGACUGGCAGGCUAGAGUAUGGCAGAGGGGGGUAAAUUCCACGUGUAGCAGUGAAAUGCGUGGAGAUGUGGAGGAAUACCGAUGGCGAAGGCAGCCCCCGUGGGCCAAUACUGACGCUCAUGCACGAAAGCGUGGGGAGCAAACAGGAUUAGAUACCCUGGUAGUCCACGCCCUAAACGAUGUCAACUAGUUGUUGGGGAUUCAUUUCCUUAGUAACGUAGCUAACGCGUGAAGUUGACCGCC
rnacentral:rRNA from 1 species